rnacentral:rRNA from 1 species
GCUCAGAAUGAACGCUUAGCGGCAGGCCUAACACAUGCAAGUCGAACGGUAACAUAAAGUGCUUGCACUUUGAUGACGAGUGGCGCACGGGUGCGUAACGCGUAUAGAACCUACCCUGUACAGGGGGAUAGCCCAGAGAAAUUUGGAUUAAUACCCCGUGGUAACUUGAUAUGGCAUCAUAUUAAGUUUAAAGUUUUCGGACGGUACAGGAUGGCUAUGCGUCCUAUUAGCUUGUUGGUGGGGUAAUGGCCUACCAAGGCAGCGAUGGUUACCGGGUGUGAGAGCAUGGCCCGGCUCACUGGGACUGANACACUGCCCAGACACCUACGGGUGGCUGCAGUCGAGAAUCUUCGGCAAUGGACGAAAGUCUGACCGAGCGACGCCGCGUGCGGGAUGAAGGCCCUCGGGUUGUAAACCGCUGUCAGUUGGGAGGAAGGACCUGUGCAGAGCAGGUCUUGACCGAUCUUCAGAGGAAGGACGGGCUAANUUCGUGCCAGCAGCCGCGGUAAGACGAACCGUCCAAACGUUAUUCGGUAUCACUGGGCUUAAAGCGUGCGUAGGCGGCUUGGUAGGUGUGAUGUGAAAGCCCACGGCUCAACCGUGGAAUUGCGUCGCAAACCCCCAAGCUUGAGGAAGACAGGGGUGUUGGGAACUUAUGGUGGAGCGGUGAAAUGCGUUGAUAUCAUAGGGAACACCGGUGGCGAGGGCGCAACACUGGGUCUUUUCUG